UACGGAGGGUGCAAGCGUUGUCCGGAAUUACUGGGCGUAAAGCGCACGUAGGCGGCUUGGUAUGUCGGGUGUGAAAUCCCCGGGCUCAACCUGGGAACUGCAUCCGAAACUGCCUUGCUCGAGUAUGGGAGAGGGAAGUGGAAUUUCCGGUGUAGCGGUGAAAUGCGUAGAUAUCGGAAGGAACAUCAGUGGCGAAGGCGACUUCCUGGACCAAUACUGACGCUCAGGUGCGAAAGCGUGGGGAGCAAACAGG
rnacentral:rRNA from 1 species